UACGGAGGAUGCGAGCGUUAUCCGGAUUUAUUGGGUUUAAAGGGUGCGCAGGCGGCCGUUCAAGUCAGCGGUAAAAAUUCGGGGCUCAACCCCGUCGUGCCGUUGAAACUGGUCUGGCUGGAGUGCGCGCGACGAAGGCGGAAUGCGUGGUGUAGCGGUGAAAUGCAUAGAUAUCACGCAGAACCCCGAUUGCGAAGGCAGCCUUCGAGCGCGCCACUGACGCUCAUGCACGAAAGCGUGGGUAU
rnacentral:rRNA from 1 species